rnacentral:misc_RNA from 1 species
CCAGAUUUUGUAGUGUUGGACCCGUCGGUAUUCUAUAUAUUGGGUACCAAGCCACAGAUACCCAACUCCCAGGCAAUAAAUCACAGCUUCUGUAGAUUUUGAUAUCAGGAAAUUGAGAUGCAAGAGAUGAAACCUUAUCAUAUAAAGGCUUUCGAUAAUGUGGUUGCUCCUGUUCCAAAUACUCAUAAACAAGCAGCCCAUGUGAGCUGGAAAUCUCCAUUUCAUCGUUGGAUGAACAAUGAAGAGGUUUAUCUCUC